AACGCACCUUGCGCUCCUUGGUAUUCCGAGGAGCAUGCCUGUUUGAGUGUCAUAAAAUUCUCAACCUUUUCAAUCUUUUAUUGGUUGAAUUAGGUUUGGAUGUGGGAGUCUUUUGCUGGCUUCUUUAAGAGGUCGGCUCUCCUUAAAUUUAUUAGCAGGACCUUUGUUGCCCUCUCAGCGUUAGUGUGAUAAUUAUCUACGCUAUUUGCUGAAAGCAACUCAUAAAAUAGGGUUUCCAGCUUCUAAUCGUCUCUUGUAGACAAUUUAUAUGACAAUUUUGACCUCAAAUCAGGUAGGACUACCCGCUGAACUUAA
rnacentral:misc_RNA from 1 species